AUGUACCUGACUAAUGAACCCAAUAACGUGUCCUCUUAACCAGGAUGGGUCCAGUGUUCUGAUGUCCAGCCCAUCCAGCAUUACCACUCCACCGCUGGGGUCAUAGAACCGCUCCAGCAAGGCAGCCACUGUGGAUUUGCCUAAAUUUAGAAAAGAGGCCUACCUGAAAUUGAUGUUCAUGAAGUCAACUCUUCCUGUCAGAGACUUGAAAGGGAUUCGACCUCCUCCGGUUCAGCUGGACGUUCCUUCUAUAUUAUGUGCAGACAAAAAAUAGGUCUCUACAUUACACUCUCACCUCUGAACUGUUUGAGAUGCGACCAAAAAUGACAUUAGAUCACCAGGUGACAUGUCAUUACGGGCCAUCAAAG